AGAGUUUGAUCAUGGCUCAGAUUGAACGCUGGCGGCAUGCCUUACACAUGCAAGUCGAACGGUAACGGGCCUUCGGGUGCCGACGAGUGGCGAACGGGUGAGUAAUGCAUCGGAACGUACCUUCAGUGGGGGAUAACGUAGCGAAAGUUACGCUAAUACCGCAUAUUCUGUGAGCAGGAAAGCAGGGGAUCGCAAGACCUUGCGCUGAUUGAGCGGCCGAUGUCAGAUUAGCUAGUUGGUGGGGUAAAGGCCUACCAAGGCGACGAUCCGUAGCGGGUCUGAGAGGAUGAUCCGCCACACUGGGACUGAGACACGGCCCAGACUCCUACGGGAGGCAGCAGUGGGGAAUUUUGGACAAUGGGCGAAAGCCUGAUCCAGCCAUGCCGCGUGAGUGAAGAAGGCCUUCGGGUUGUAAAGCUCUUUCGGCCGAGAAGAAAUCGCAUGGGUUAAUACCCUGUGUGGAUGACGGUACCGGAAUAAGAAGCACCGGCUAACUACGUG
rnacentral:rRNA from 1 species